CCCCAGACUCCUACGGGAGGCAGCAGUGAGGAAUAUUGGUCAAUGGGCGAGAGCCUGAACCAGCCAAGUCGCGUGAAGGAUGACGGCCCUACGGGUUGUAAACUUCUUUUGUCAGGGAGCAAUUGAGUCCACGUGUGGGCUUAGCGAGAGUACCUGAAGAAAAAGCAUCGGCUAACUCCGUGCCAGCAGCCGCGGUAAUACGGAGGGUGCAAGCGUUACUCGGAAUCACUGGGCGUAAAGAGUGCGUAGGCGGGGUAAUAAGUCAGAUGUGAAAUCCUGUAGCUUAACUACAGAACUGCAUUUGAAACUGUUACUCUGGAGUGUGGGAGAGGUAGGUGGAAUUCUUGGUGUAGGGGUAAAAUCCGUAGUGAUCAAGAGGAAUACUCAUUGCGAAGGCGACCUGCUGGAACAUUACUGACGCUGAUGCACGAAAGCUUGGGGAGCAAAGAGGUGGAGAUUCCCCAGUACA
rnacentral:rRNA from 1 species